GACGGAGGAUGCAAGUGUUAUCCGGAAUCACUGGGCGUAAAGCGUCUGUAGGUUGUUUAAAAAGUCUACGGUUAAAGGUUGAAGCUUAACUUCAAAACUGCCUUAGAAACUCUUAAACUUGAGGAUGGUAGGGGUAGAGGGAAUUUCCAGUGGAGCGGUGAAAUGUGUAGAUAUUGGAAAGACCACCAAUGGCGAAGGCACUCUACUGGGCCAUUACUGACACUGAGAGACGAAAGCUAGGGGAGCAAAUGGG
rnacentral:rRNA from 1 species